rnacentral:rRNA from 1 species
GAUGAACGCUGGCGGCGUGCCUAACACAUGCAAGUCGAACGGAGUUUAUGAAGUUUUCGGAUGGAUUAAACUUAGUGGCGGACGGGUGAGUAACGCGUGGGUAACCUGCCUCAUACAGGGGGAUAACAGUUGGAAACGACUGCUAAAACCGCAUAACAUUGCGACACCGCAUGGUGAUGCAAUUAAAUAUUUAUAGGUAUGAGAUGGGCCCGCGUCUGAUUAGCUAGUUGGUGAGGUAAUGGCUCACCAAGGCGACGAUCAGUAGCCGGCUUGAGAGAGUGACCGGCCACAAUGGGACUGAGACACGGCCCAAACUCCGACGGGAGGCAGCAGUGGGGAAUAUUGCACAAUGGGGGAAACCCUGAUGCAGCGACGCCGCGUGAGUGAAGAAGUAUUUCGGUAUGUAAAGCUCUAUCAGCAGGGAAGAAAAUGACGGUACCUGACUAAGAAGCCCCGGCUAACUACGUGCCAGCAGCUGCGGUAA